ACAGUUAACCUGCGGUUUUUUGUGACUAUUAAGAUUUUGGUUCGAAUUUUAAAAGCUUAACCUAUAAAUACCAUAAAACUGUCAGUUGUGGAUUAGCACAAUAUUAGCUUCUGAAUUAUAUUUCAAUAUACUAUCUCCACAGUUCUUUAUUUCCUCGCAAUACCUGUAAUUGUUGAUCAUGGAGAAUGAUGAUUAUUCAAACGACCUCCAGCUUCAGUUCCAAGCACUGCAAAAACAGCAAGAAAAACGAAAACUCGAUAGGAAGAAGAAAAAAGAACCCAGUAAUUUUAAUGUUCCAGGUACUCAGGAUGAGUUGGAUCAGUUGAUGCAAGUCAUUCAGGAAGACAAUCCUGAAGAUAGUCUGUUACAGCAGGAAAAUCCGACUCUGUUAGACCAACUGCGAGAGCUCAGAGAUGAAAACGGUAGACUCUUUAAACUUCUGAGUGAAAAAAACUUCGAGAUCAAACAUCUAAAGAAGAAAAGAGAAGAAGAAAGACUGUCCUUAGCUGGCACAUCAGGCUUGGCAGGAGCUGCAGCUGCCACCAAGAUUGUUGAGCUUUCCAAGAAGAAUAGAGACUUAACUGCGGAAAUUGAGCAACUGAAGAUUACAUCCAAGCAAAGCAGAAAUAGGAUCAUAGAGCUUGAGAAAGAGCUGCAGGGUGCUUUGGAGAACUCAGUGCCUGGACAGAAAACCACACAAAAAACACCGGAUAAGAGCUCGUCUGAAGACCGUGAGGAAAGUCCAGUGGUCAAGUCCCUGCAGGAAAAAUUAGCAGCUUCCCAGCUCAAAGUAACCGAAUACCGCAACCAGGUUCAGUCUGCAAAACAGGAGCUGAAAGUUGCUCAGAAGGUUCUAUUGAGUGAAGUUGGAGAGGAGGUCAACCUUCAGCAGGUACUGAACAGCCCUGGGAGCUUUAGAGGCCGGUCACAACAGAUUCUGGCUCUCCAGACAAGGGUGCGGGAGCUUGAGCAUCAGCUGUGCCAGCGGAGACAGCCAGGUGUGGAACAGGAGUCUCCUGCCACAGGGGUCCAUCAUAAAACCUCUCCCCAAAAUAGGAGCCUCAACUACAUCCGGACCAUCGAGAAAGAAAAGAGGGAGGCCUUUGAGAGGAUCUCAGGAGACUAUGAGGCUCUCUUGAAAGAACAUGAGGUUGUGAAGAAAAGGCUUGAAGCCUCUAAAGCCAGGAGCAGAACCCAGUCUGAGGAAAUAAAAACUCUGAAGGUGCAGAUUUCCUCCUUGUUGGAGAAAGGGAAACAUGAUGAUGGGGUCUUGGACACCCUGCUGAAACAGCAGAGCCAGAUGCAGACGGUGCUAAAGCGGCUCAGCCAACAGCAGAGUCCAAAGAGCAGAGAGCAUAAACAUAGCUUGAGACAUCAGAUGGACAGCGAGACCCCAGAUCACAACAAUCUUAUCCAGAAGCUGAAGCUCAUGGUUGCAGAGAAAGACGCCAUGAUAAAAAAACUGCGAGAAAUGCUGCAACCUUCCACUGAGCAACUGAAGGAAGAGAGCGAGGUCAGGCAUUCAAGCCCAAAGAUUAAAAGCUGCAGUUCAGGAAUCUGCCCAGAAGAUGGAGACAGUAUCAAAAGAAUUACACAUUCAGAUUCAGUCUCUAAAUUAGGUCAUAAAUUGGUGCUGGGUGCUAUGGGAGGUGGAGUGGAAAUAAAAAGUCCUACAAAAUGCCCGAAGUGUUCUGCUGAUGUGGGUGCUCUGAUCAGCCAGAGCAGUGUGUACAAAAUCCUCAGCUUGGAGAAGGACAGGUUGCUGGAGCUGGUUAAGGUCCUACAGAUCAAAGAGAAAGACAUGAAGCAAAUGUGUUUGGAGGCAGAGAAGAAAUACCAUGAGGAGCGUCGCAAGACUGUGAUGCUGGAGCAGCAGUUAGAAAGGACAAAAAUAGAUUCCAAGUAGAGGACUCUGCAUCGAGCACGCACCCUGUGGGAGAUUGGCAGGUCCCAUUUGGACCUGGUGAGAAAGAGCCACAAGACAAAAAUAUCAAAAAUAUGGACACGAUGAAGACAGCCUUUAUGCUCAGAGUAACAAAAACAUCUUGUGUUGAGCACCUCCUGGAUGGAAGCUUUGAAUGACUCCUUUCUCCAUCGUUCUCCUCAGAGGUAUUCCCUCGUUCUGGACCAAUGAUUCCUGCAGACCAUUGACUGCAUCCAGAAACUAAAGUAAACAGUCCAGCCGUGGAGGCAGAGGUUAAAGUUAGCAAUCAGUGUACGAGGGAUCUGUGAACUUUCCUCAGGCCAGAAAAACGGUUUUUUCCUUUGUGAGUUUAUUCAUCGUCCUGCGGCUCUCAUUUACAUGUAAUGGAAAGAAAAUAAACAGAACAGUCCUAAUGUGCUCAUUUGCAGUAAUUAGAAAUUAAGUAACAACUUAACUUGUACACCAGGGAAGUAAUGAUUAAACUCUUAAUGGUCAAAUAAUGUUUACUGGAUCAUCACUGUGGCUUCUAUUCUGGGAUUUUUAUUCCAAUAAAUUUAAUUACAUGUAGAAUCACUAGAUGGCAGUGCUGUUGCUCAUGUGCUGUGAUGCUUUUCAGUUUAUCUUCUGUGUGAUUUAAAGCCAAAAAUGGUUAAAAACCUUUUUUUUUUUUGCAUUUUAUCAUGUUACAUCAGACUUUAUCCUAUUUACACUGGAACACAUACUUUUUUUUCGUAUAAAAAUGUCAAAGGUGUGGUGUGCAUGUGUAAUUAGAGGUAAAUCCCAGACAUCAGUUCUUUAAAGAACCAUCUUUUGCUGCAGUUACAGCUGCAGGGCUUUUGAGGUAUGCCUCUAAUAGCUUUGCACAUCUAGACAUUGAAAUGUGUUAAGUUUUUUGGGCAAAAUAGCUCAAACUGUCAGAUUGAAAGAAUACUAUCUGUGAACAAGAAGUCUUGGAAAAGCUUCUAUAUUGGGGUUAGGUCUAGAUUUUGACUAGGCCAUACUAAGACGUAAACAUGCUUUGAUCUCCACAGUUCCUCCUGAGUUACCACAGGCCUCUUUACUGCUUCUCCAAUUAACACCCUCCUUCAGUUUAGGUGGAUGGCCCCGUCUCGGAAGGUUUGGGGUUGUGCCAUGCCCGUUCCAUUUAAGUUGAGGGAUUGAACAGUUUGGAAUAUUGUUUUAUAACCUAACCCUGUUUUGAACCUCUCCAUACCUUCAUCCCGGACCUCUCUCCUGUUCACUGGUUUUCAUGUUGCUGUUUGUUCAUUAAUGUUCUCUAACAAACGUCUGAGGCCUUCACAGAACAGCUGGAUGUAUACUUAGAUUAAAUUACACACAGGUGCACUUUGUUUAUUAGGUGACUUGUGAAGGUCUGCAAUUGCCCAACAUUUUUUUUAGGGUAUCACAGUCAAGAGGGAUGAAAAUACAUGCAUGUCACUUGUUUCAAACUUUUGUCAAAAAACAAUGGAAACAAAUGUAUCCUUUUCUUGUUCCUCUUCAAAUCUCUACUUGAUGUUGGUUUAAAUCCCAAUUAAAUACAUUUAAGUUUGCGGUUUUAAUGUGAUAUGGAGAACUCUAAGAGAUUUGAAUAAUUUUGCAUGACGCCAUAACAUAAAGUACAUGAAACAUUUUUCCAAUAAUAAAUCAUCAGGCAUGGUUAAUGUUUCAGUAGUGCUAUGUUUAGACAGCAGCAGUAGUUUUUCAGGAAUGAAAGUUAUGCAUUUUGUGCAGAAGCUGCAUUUAAGAUCGUGGUUAUGCUGACUAAGAGAUAGCCCUGAAAAUUAUUGUCACCAAAAACUGUAUAAUUUUAAAUAAAUUGCGUUCACUAAG